GACGAACGCUGGCGGCGUGCUUAACACAUGCAAGUCGAGCGGUAAGGCCCUCGGGUACGACGAGCGGCGAACGGGUGAGUAACACGUGGGUGACCUGCCCUCAGCUCUGGGAUAAGCCCGGGAAACGUGGGUCUAAUACCGGAUAUGACCUCUCAUCGCAUGGUGGGUGGUGGAAAGUCGGUGUCAUUGAUGCCGGCGGUUGGGGAUGGGCCCGCGGCCUAUCAGCUUGUUGGG
rnacentral:rRNA from 1 species